AGGUGUCGGUGACUAAGGUGACGUUCUCUCCUAAUAUCGCACCACUUUAGGCCGCAGGCCCGACGAUCGGGGCGGGCAGAGGCUGCGCGAAUCACUUGACCUCGACAGCGCCCAUCGCGGUAGUCAGAGGCCGCGCGAAGCGGCGGCCCUCGGCACCCCACCCAAACCUUCCGCCACUCUGCCCUCAGCAGCGGUGAUCGAUCGCGGCGCGCGGAAGCCGUGCGACUCGACGACCCCGGCACCAGAAUCGACCUCCUUUCUACCUUAGGUAGCACCGAUCGAGACGAGCGGAGUCCCCGCGACGCCGUGCGGGCUGGCACAGGAACCGGCCGCCGUUCUACCCUCGGUAGUGCCGAUCACCACGGGCAGAGGCCGCGUGGGUUCCGGUACGGUUCCAAGACAGGUCGGGCGAGGCACCCUCUACCACGGUACCACCUUGACGACGUGGCAGUCGGCCACCGGCUCUACAGCGCGUCAGCGUGAUCUUCCACGCUCGAACUACGUCUGAGUUGUCCUUUUCCUCGUUCUUGUAUGGAUGUCUGCUGCUUCACGGUCCUCGAGGCAGGUACGACUUCUUGUGGCAUCUACAACUAGGUGCCUCUCCUGUUAAAAGACAGUUAGAACUAGAUAAGAGGAGGGUAGGCCCCACCCAUUGUUACCUUUAUCUAACCAUCCUGUUUCCUACUUCGGUGCUUUCUCUAAAACCACCGUUAGACAACAAUGCGCCCUCUCUUUCUACACCAAAGCGACUAAAAGAUCUUGGAUUGACGUUAGUCUCUCUAUACGACCCAACAAAUUCACCACCCCAGGUGGUCCUGUGCACGACCGGAGACUAAGCGGGACGUACUAUCACGCACGACCCCACGCACGACCCUUGGGUCGUGCUCUCGGGCUGGGCCGAUGCACGGCAUAUAUUGCGCUGCAUCGACGUACCUCCGCACGUUGAUGUAAUGAAUCGACGCAUUAGAGGACGUACCUCCGCACGUAGUGGGAUCAGAAGUUUUGACAUAUACUCGUAUAACACUAUUACUUAUGUUAGUCCC
rnacentral:rRNA from 1 species